rnacentral:lncRNA from 1 species
UAUAUUUACCGCUUUUAUAUAUUUAUAUUUCCGAUCCCCCAUGGAGUUGCUUCGUGGUGGUUGAUCACGUCUGUAUAUAUAUAUAUAUUUACAACUUUUAUAUAUAUAACUGCUUACUGCUUUCCAUACAAAUUGCAGUAUCAUGUGAGCCUAGGAAUUAUGUGAUCACAGAUUCAGUCUAUUGAAUCUAGAUUCGGUUCCCAUGAUGGACAUUUUUUAGCUGUAAGCAACUUUUACAUUAUUUUUACAGUGUCUGAAUUUCCUUGGAUGGUUGUCAUGCCCAUGAGGAGUUCGACACUGCUGUAUAUUAUUUUCUCGAGAAUGCUUCGCAUCUCAAAAAUAAAAGCAAACAAGCCGAACAUUUAAUAAUAAAAUGGAAGCAUCAAAGGCCUCAAUUACUAUUGAGCACAAGGUUUGAAAAACCACUUUUACAAAACGACAUUGCUAUAUCUUGUUUAAAACUGAAUUUUUCUAUAAAUUCAAACCCUAUGUAUAUAGGUACGAAUGAGGUACUGCACUACUUCCAAAUAAUUGGACAUUGAUCCACACACACACACAUUCAUAUAACAGUUUCUUUGAAAAGUGGUGGUCACCGUGGUAACACGGAUGUCGGGGGGUGCCUAACACCUUCCCUCUGCAUAAUCAAGCCUCUGGACCCAAAAUGAAUCUCGGUUUCACAGACCCGUCUAGCAGUGUCAAAUCACCGGGUCAAUGUGAAAACCUUUUCGGUUGCAUUGGUGAAACAAGUUAAAUACACCAACUGGCGACUCUUAAAGUCAAAUCGUCGACAUUAUACAUGUCAGACCUUUUUCACUUGUUUUUUCAAACAAAUCUCACAUUAACAUGAGAACACCAAAGAACAAGUAACAUAAAGGGACACUCAAAAAUCCCGACGUCGACAGGUACCAUAUGUGUGUAUACUUGAAUCGUGCCAAGCUUGAUUAAAGACUGUGUUAGCUAAUUAACAUCUUGAUCAUAUAAUGUGUUAUAAAUAGGAUUUGAAAGUGUUGAUUUAUUAACGUGGAUAGACUACACUUGAGGCAAGUAUCUGAACCCUACUAUUAUUGUUGUGCAAUACCAUUGCAUUAUUUAUUCGAACAUUACCGUAAGCUUAUCCCUUUGAAUACAAGUUAUAUUACUUUCUCAUUCAAAUGAGUUAGUAUGUUAAACCCUUGUGAAGGUUAUUAUUCAUGUUGAAAUUGGUAUUGCCCUUGAAUAUUGUGAAAGAGUCGAUGCCAUUUGAUUCGGCUAGACUAUAUGCAUGUUUAUAAAAACUGUCCAAACUAGUUGAUUGGUGCGAAAAUCUUGAAAACUGAGUUGGACAACCCUUUUGGUAAGGGGAGUGUAUGUUGUUGGAAACCCCACCACAUGAAUAAAUAUUAUUGUGGUGUUAUGCAUAACGUAAAGUAUUGUAGACUGAUCAUCUAUAGUACUUGAUAUUUUCGGUUAUCAGUUUAAUAUUGGUAACUCUUGUGGAAGUUCCAUAGUCCUUAGUGACUGCUUAGUAUAAAUUGCUUAUCCAG